AGCAAAUCUUGGCUACUGUGAGGGGCUACGGCCUUGAGCAUUUCCUCACUGGUGAGUAAGAUGUUCCCCCAUAGUUUGUCUUUGUUGAAAAUUUGGAUGAGAUGCAGUUGAAUCCAACUUUCAUAUCAUGGCAUCGUCAAGAUCAGCUUCUCUUGGCAUGAAUCCAAUCCUCCUUUUCAGAAAACACCAUGAUGAUGAUAGUGUGGCUCAACACCAACAAAGAUAUAUGGCGUUCCUUGGAGACUAACUACUCUAGCCAAUCGAAGGCCAAAGUAAUGCAGUACAAAUUGUAACUGUAGACUAUGAAGAAAGACUCUCUCUCCAUGAGAGAGUACCUCAACAAAGUGAAAUUGUGUUGUGAUUUGUUGGGGUCAGUUGGCUGUAGGAUUAUGGAAGAAGAUAAAAUCCUUUAUAUCCUGGCUGGACUAGGGUUUGAGUAUGAUCCAGUCAUGGUGACUAUCACCUCAAGAGGUGAAGCUUGGUCAGUUCCAGAUGUUACAAGCUUGCUCCUGAGUUUUGAGUUUAGAUUGGAGUUCUCCAAAGGAACCAACAUCAACACUAACAGUACACAGCCUUCAGCUAACAUGAUUCAAGCUUCUAGGAACAGAUAUGAUGGUCACAUCCAACAUAACAAAGACAACCAGCAACAUUCUAGAAGAGGUUUUGGUGGCAGAUUCAAUAGCUUUAGAGGGGGAAGGGGAGGUAGAGGAGGCAGAUUCUCAGGCCAAAGACUUGUCUAUCAAGUCUGUCAAAAACCUGGACACUCUGCAGAUCGAUAUUGGUACAGGUUUGAGCAUAAUUUUACUUCUUCUUCCUCGAUAGGACCUUGAAGACAACAAUACCAACCACAUCAAACAUAUUCCAUUCCACAUCAGCCACCCACUCCUUCUGCAAAUAUUGUGCAAUAGAGAAUAACUCUCACUCCUCACCAUCACAAUCCUGGACCUGCUCCAUCUGAAUACAGUUUUGAAGGUAGCACUACCUCCUCCUGGUACCCUGAUUCAGGUGCCACAAACCAUACCUCCAAUGAUCUCUCUAACAUGUACACAAGUGCUGAGUACAGUGGAGGAUUUAUCAUCCAAGGAUAUCAUCCUCAAAGGCACUCCUAAUCAAGGUCUCUACCGAUUUCUCAUCCACAAACUGAAGAAAUGUCAUGUUUCCAGAUUUCCUGUCUUCCAAAAAGGCCAAGGCUCUAGCUUACCUACAGCCUGCACUACCAUUCUAGGAUCUUCGCCUUCUGUUUUUAGUACCUCAACUUCUGUUAAAAUAGGAAUAGACAUUUGGGACAAAAGACUUGGCCAUUGUAAUUUUGAUUCCGUUGAAAAGGCUCCACAAUCAUGUAAUACUCCUUUUACAUUCAAUGAAAUCAAGUAUUUUGUGUCA